rnacentral:rRNA from 1 species
AAGUCGUAACAAGGUUUCCGUAGGUGAACCUGCGGAAGGAUCAUUAUUGAUUGUGAAUCGUUGCCUCCAGUGCUGGCUCUCGCAAGUGCACGGUUGGUGACUUUCAUCCAACACCCUGUGAACCUUUGGCCUCUUGCUAGCUUCGGCUGGCAGAGGAUUUUUACACACACUCGAAUGUAAUGAAAUUAUUGUCGUGCGCAAGCACUUAUGUACAACUUUCAACAACGGAUCUCUUGGCUCUCGCAUCGAUGAAGAACGCAGCGAAAUGCGAUAAGUAAUGUGAAUUGCAGAAUUCAGUGAAUCAUCGAAUCUUUGAACGCACCUUGCACCCUUUGGCAUUCCGAAGGGUAUGCUCGUUUGAGUGUCAUUGUACUCUCACACUUCUGAUCCUUUGGAUUUGGAGCGGUGGACUUGGGUGUUGCCACUUGACGGUGGCUCACCUCUAAUGCAUUAGUGCAACUCCUGGUUGGACCAUAGUACGGCGUGAUAAGUGUCUUCGCCGGCACCUCGUGAGAGGGUGGCCGAUCGAGAGCUCUGUGCUUUCAAACCGUCCUUGCAAGGACAAUGACUGACAACUUGACCUCAAAUCGAGUAGGACUACCCGCUGAACUUAA